AGCGAACGCUGGCGGCAGGCCUAAUACAUGCAAGUCGAGCGCACCUUCGGGUGAGCGGCGGACGGGUGAGUAACGCGUGGGAACGUGCCCUAAGGUACGGAACAACUGAGGGAAACUUCAGCUAAUACCGUAUGUGCCCUUCGGGGGAAAGAUUUAUCGCCUUAGGAGCGGCCCGCGUUGGAUUAGCUAGUUGGUGGGGUAAAGGCCCACCAAGGCUACGAUCCAUAGCUGGUCUGAGAGGAUGAUCAGCCACACUGGGACUGAGACACGGCCCAGACUCCUACGGGAGGCAGCAGUAGGGAAUCUUGCGCAAUGGGCGAAAGCCUGACGCAGCCAUGCCGCGUGAAUGAUGAAGG
rnacentral:rRNA from 1 species